GGUCAAAUCAUCAUGCCUCUUACAUCUAGGGCUACAGGCGUGCUACAAUGGCUGAUACAACGAGUCGCAACAUAGUGAUAUGUAGCUAAUCUCUUAAAGUCAGUCUCAGUUCGGAUUGAAGUCUGCAACUCGACUUCAUGAAGUUGGAAUCGCUAGUAAUCCCGAAUCAGAAUGGCGCGGUGAAUACGUUCCCGGGCCUU
rnacentral:rRNA from 1 species